rnacentral:rRNA from 1 species
UACAGAGAGGACUAGUAUUAUUCGAAAUAACUGGGCGUAAAGGGUAUGUAGGCGGUUUAUAACGUUAAUAGUGAAAGAGUAAAAGAGUUCUUUUAUAAUGUCUAUUAAAACGAGUAAACUUGAGUUCGGAAGAGGAUAGUAGAAUUUCUAGUGUAGAGAUAAAAUUCGUAAAUCUUAGAAGGAACACCUUUAGGCGAAGGCGACUAUCUUGUUUGAUAUACUGACGCUGAAAUACUAAAGCAUGGGGAGCAAACGGG